CUUCAUUCGCUCCAGUUGGGAUUGAAAAACUCAUCUUCCUUGAUCAUUUUUGGUGGUCAUCUUCACUACUCACAUUGGCAUCUUGAUCUCUCUCGCUCACGUUGGCAUCGUACUCUCUCCUGUUCUCUCAAAUUUGCACCUUAGAGUUGAAAAUCUCUAUUCUUGAAAUCCUAGGUUGGAUUGUUCCAAAUCUAAGAGAGCAGCUAGAGCUCCAAUUGUCCUUCACACUUGAAAAGAGUGUAUGUUGAAGUUGAUCCUAGCCUUGAGAAGGUUGCUGAGUUGGGUGGACCAUGCUCAAUAGGGCAAGUGAUCUCCAAAUAUUUUUAGAUAUUCAAAAUCACUAUAAAGAUAAAUCAUACUUAUGAUUAUUUUAAAGA